UCCAUUUGGCGAGCGAUUUAUGUGAGCUUUUCAUUUUCCCCGCCUUUUCCCCACCAUUUUUCCACCGUCUUGCUUGUGCUUUUCGCGGUGUCGCCAAGUGGUUUCUAAUGGUUUUGGCCCGGUCAUAAAGCAAAAGGCGGCAAAAAACAAAACCUUCGAGCCGCUACCAAAUUUGGUCGACCAUAAAAAAAUCUCAUUAAUGUGACAAACAAAAAAGGAAUGACAUAAACACGCGCGUAAACAUAAAAUUUGAUGAAAUGAAAAAAAGACAAGGGCCCUCGCAUAAAUUCAGCGUAUCAAUGAAAUCGACUAUCAGGCUGUUUAAUGAUGGAUUCAGAGCAGGGCGAGAUCAUCAAAAGCAGUUGAGCCGCCUCAGAAGAAUUCUGGUUUUAAACAGCCAACUCCAGCGGAGUGAGAACAACAAUAUGCGACGAGCAAUAACGUGCAAAAGAGCAGUUACAAUGCUGGCAAUUAACUGGCAUGAAUGGCAGGAAGUUUGGAUUGCAGCAGCAGAAACAGCGACCUUGCAAUGUCGCAAACGAUGACGAGCCAUGAUGAUCGCUGUCUGUUAACUUUGCC